rnacentral:lncRNA from 1 species
AAAUUUUUGUGAGUACAUAGUAGGUAUAAACAUUUAGGGAUGAAGUUUCUUACUGUGUUUUCCCAGUAACAAGCACUGGCAUCAGCUGUCAUGAUUUCUCCCCAAGGCCUAGGAUGGUCAGCCUCGCACGCUCCACCGCAGAGUGACUGAAGCUCUAUCGAGGUGUGGCACGAGCGUGUUGUCAUUUCAAGAGAAUCUGCAGCCUCCCUGGUUUUUAAUGAACGCUCCUAUGCAGGGCCUGGCCCUUUCCUGGGGAGGGAAGCCUGGCUGUGUCUCCCGCUGCAUCCUCACUGGGAACUUCAUUCCUGAGCCGCGACCGCUAUUUUUUGGAUUGGAAAAUGCCUUGGGAACGGCUCAUCUUCCUGCGGCUUGAGCCCAUUUGUUUUCUGACUGGUGGUCACUGGUGAUUAGAGUGUGUCCCAAAGGGAACUGUCACCUUAGUUCUAUCAUACGCUAUCAAUAACUUGUCCAGGGCUGACUUUGUGGCUGUGCGGCCUGCCCAGUGGUAGAGGGCCGGUGUGCUGAAGGGCCCCACACUCAAUGUUUGGCUGUCCCCGAUCUUAAAAUUCUUAGUCAUUCUUGAACAAGGGAACCCAUAUUUUCAUUUUGUUCUAGGCUCUGAGAGUUACAUAAUUGAUUCUGACUUUGGCUGUUGGUCAACAGUGUCAUAAGGUAAAAUAAGGCUGUUGUAGAAUCUGCUCAGCCAGGGAGGGGAAAGGAGUCGGCAAUCAGGUCUCCUCCUGGGCACCUUUGUGAGGCCAGCUGGCGAGAGUGGGGGGUGACACUGAGGUCCCAGCAGCUCCAAAUGCAGGCAGAGCCCUGUCCUCAGAGAAGGUCACAGCCUAGCCAAGCCCAGCCAGGUGGAUGGGCCCACGGAACGCACAGGAACCUGGAACGGAGGUUGAAAGCAGGAAGCACAGUCUGUGACUCCCCAGCCCACUCUUCAUUCGACCACUUGGGGCCCAGAAGCUUCAGGAAAGGUGCACAAGGUCACUGGGUCCCAGUACGCCAAACAGGAAGGUCUGGUCCAGGGACAGGGCUCUUCCCGACUCCCCUUAGCCACGCGCACCAGAAGUUCUGCAGUGCCCAGUGGGCAUAGCAGUCCCCAAGAAUGACCCAGCACUGAAGCUGAGCCAAAGAACUUGGGGAGCGAGCCACACCCCCUCACUCCCUCUUCGUCUGCUCCAGACUUGCCAGGCGGUUGCUUUUCGUGGGAACCGGGAUGUCCUCACCACCCUGUCCAGGGCUGAGCCCCAUGUCCCUGGCCUGCUACAGCUGGAAAAAAAAAAAAGAGAUAUGUUUGUUUUUAUUUGCUUAUAAAAAGAAAAGUGUUAUAUAUAUAACAUAUUAUACCUCAUGAAUAAAUACAAUUAUUUGUCAAUUAACAAUAAAGAAAAAUAUAGCAAGCAAAAAAGACUCCUCUUCCACA